rnacentral:rRNA from 1 species
UACGUAGGGUGCAAGCGUUGUCCGGAAUUAUUGGGCGUAAAGAGCUCGUAGGCGGUCUGUCACGUCUGCUGUGAAAACUCGGGGCUUAACCCCGGGCCUGGCAGUGGGUACGGGCAGACUAGAGUGCGGUAGGGGGAGACUGGAAUUCCUGGUGUAGCGGUGAAAUGCGCAGAUAUCAGGAGGAACACCGGUGGCGAAGGCGGCUCGCUGGGCCAUUCCUGACGCUGAGACGCGAAAGCUAGGGGAGCGAACAGG